rnacentral:rRNA from 1 species
GACGAACGCUGGCGGCGUGCCUAAUACAUGCAAGUUGAGCGCUGAAGGUUGGUACUUGUACCAACUGGAUGAGCAGCGAACGGGUGAGUAACGCGUGGCGAAUCUGCCUUUGAGCGGGGGACAACAUUUGGAAACGAAUGCUAAUACCGCAUAAAAACUUUAAACACAAGUUUUAAGUUUGAAAGAUGCAAUUGCAUCACUCAAAGAUGAUCCCGCGUUGUAUUAGCUAGUUGGUGAGGUAAAGGCUCACCAAGGCGAUGAUACAUAGCCGACCUGAGAGGGUGAUCGGCCACAGUGGGACUGAGACACGGCCCAAACUCCUACGGGAGGCAGCAGUAGGGAAUCUUCGGCAAUGGACGAAAGUCUGACCGAGCAACGCCGCGUGAGUGAAGAAGGUUUUCGGAUCGUAAAACUCUGUUGGUAGAGAAGAACGUUGGUGAGAGUGGAAAGCUCAUCAAGUGACGGUAACUACCCAGAAAGGGACGGCUAACUACGUG